UACGUAGGGUCCGAGCGUUGUCCGGAAUUACUGGGCGUAAAGAGCUCGUAGGUGGUUUGUCGCGUUGUUCGUGAAAACUCACAGCUUGACUGUGGGCGUGCGGGCGAUACGGGCAGACUAGAGUACUGCAGGGGAGACUGGAAUUCCUGGUGUAGCGGUGGAAUGCGCAGAUAUCAGGAGGAACACCGGUGGCGAAGGCGGGUCUCUGGGCAGUAACUGACGCUGAGGAGCGAAAGCGUGGGGAGCGAACAGG
rnacentral:rRNA from 1 species